AAGUCGUAACAAGGUUUCCGUAGGUGAACCUGCGGAAGGAUCAUUAAAGAGAGAGGGUCUCCAGGCCCGAGCCUCCCACCCUUUGCAAACCCCCCCCUUUUGCUUUGAUGGGUGAUCGCCCAUCGGAGGACCUGAAAACCUCGUUAUCCGUGGAGUCUGAGUGUGGUACAAUAGUUAAAA
rnacentral:misc_RNA from 1 species